UGAGGCUGCAUUUGGCACAAAUCCUCAGUUUCCAGAACUGGCAACUUUAACGCCUGCUACGGUGCUCUUUCUUUCCUUUGAAACAUGGGAACAGCUACCUGUAAAUGCAAUAUUCCAGAUCUGGAACGUCUGCGCUAGAAUAAGCUUCUCCUCACUUCUGGACGUAGCUUGAGAAAUUGUGUCCUGUACAGCUGAGCCAAAAGGCCCCACAGAGCAAUGCUGUUCCCAGUCUGCUGAGACUGGAGUGUGUGGGGAGGAAAAUGCAAUCAGCUGUUCUGUGCCCAGCUGUAACCACAGAUGUUUCCGAGGAAAAAAGCAUCUCCUCUGUAUGGCCUGAGGAACGUAUUUCUUCCUGAUCGCUUCUCUGCUUAUAGACAGUAAGAAACAAUGGCAAGCUGGACUAAUUGCAUUAUUGGAUAGACAUUUAGUCUUUUAAAUCCAAAGCAGUAAUGACCUGUCUGGAGACAUGCUGAGAUGCAAAGUGAGUCUCUGGGAACAGUGUUUCAGAGAUGAUGUCCUGAGGCCACCGGAAACUUUGUGUUCGAUAACUGGGCACAAAACUGAUUGCUCGCCCUUAGCCUGCCUCUGAGCUAUCCUCAAAGCAGCCAAACAGAAAGCAGCUGUCCUGCCCUGUCCCCCACGUCAGUCAAUUGCAGGGUGAAAAACAUGGGGGCUUGCAACCCAAA